rnacentral:rRNA from 1 species
AUUGAACGCUGGCGGCAUGCCUAACACAUGCAAGUCGAACGAGUGGCGGACGGGUGAGUAAUGUCUGGGAAACUGCCCGAUGGAGGGGGAUAACUACUUGAAACGGUAGCUAAUACCGCAUACCAUCGGAUGUUCCCAGAUGGGAUUAGCUAGUAGGUGGGGUAACGGCUCACCUAGGCGACGAUCCCUAGCUGGUCUGAGAGGAUGACCAGCCACACUGGAACUGAGAAAAGGUACAGACUCCUACGGGAGGCAGCAGUGGGGAAUAUUGCACAAUGGGAGCAAGCCUGAUACAGCCAUGCCGCGUGUAUGAAGAAGGCCUUCUGGGUGUAAAGUACUUUCAGCGAGGAGGCGUUACCCGCAGAAGAAGCACCGGCUAACUCCGUGCCAGCAGCCGCGGUAAUUC